rnacentral:rRNA from 1 species
UACGUAGGGGGCAAGCGUUGUCCGGAAUUAUUGGGCGUAAAGAGCGUGUAGGCGGUCCGAUAAGUCGGCUGUGAAAGUCCAGGGCUCAACUCUGGAAUGCCGGCCGAUACUGUCGGACUAGAGUCCGGAAGAGGUGAGUGGAAUUCCCGGUGUAGCGGUGAAAUGCGCAGAUAUCGGGAGGAACACCAAUGGCGAAGGCAGCUCACUGGGACGGCACUGACGCUGAGACGCGAAAGCGUGGGGAGCAAACAGGG